rnacentral:tRNA from 1 species
GCCUUCUUAGCUCAGUGGCAGAGCACUAGUCUAGUAAACUAGGGUUCAUGAGUUCAAUUCUCAUAGAGGGCA